rnacentral:lncRNA from 1 species
GGUUUCGAUCACAGGAAGCUGGUAGGAGGUGCAGCGCCUCGGGGACCAGCCCCGGGAAGAGCUCCUGUACGACCCCCGCCCUCAGGCGCACAGAGGCGGACCCCGCACCCUGGGCACCGCGGCGCCGCCUCCCCGAGGGCCACUCGGCUCCCAGCGGCUCCAGGCGGCCCCAGCACCGAGAGGAGGGCCGGUGACCAGGGGCUGCGGCCCGCGGGGAGGUGGUCUGUGUGGCCCGCGUGAGGCAGCGGUCUCGCGUGCUGAGCCCCAGCCCAGAAAUUUCACCCGAUGUGAAACCCGAGUGCAGGACCCUGAGGAGGAGACCCCGCCGCCUCCCAGCAGGCCAGCCCGGGCAUCCUAGGAAGGGAUCCCGUCUCCCACACAGACCCCGGGCUCCUGUCCUCAGCCGAGCUCCUUCUUGGCCUGAGCUCUGCCCAGGCGACCCUCGCAGCCCUGGGACCUCCGAUACACGGGCCGGAGCUGGGGUCAGAGUUCAUUUCUUCCCAAACGGGCGGCUCCAGAAACGCUCCAAACUUUUCUUCCGUUUUCCACUGGCAAGGGACCCAGCAUUUUACUGGGAGCCUAAGGAGGAGAAAGGUCUACCGGGCUUGUCCCUGUGGUGAGGCCUCGCUGCCGGCCCUAAACAGGGAUGAGGGUUUGAAAACCCUCACACAGCCCUAAGAGAGAGUCACGCCGAGUUUCCCCCUGGCCAUCUCCAGUGUCCUUCGUCCCUUCAGCUCUUGUCCCCGACGUUCCCGCUCCCGGGAGCUGCAGGUGCCGCACACACCCAUGAGGGACGGCAGACAGGGGACACACACCGCAAGGGACGGCAGACAGGAAACACACACCCUCGAGGGACAGCAGAGAGGACACACACCCGCGAGGGACGGCGGACAGGACACACACCCGCGAGGGACGGCAGACAGGACACACCCCCACGAGGGUCGGCAGACAGGACACACCCCCACAAGGGACCGCAGACGGGACACACGCCCGCGAGGGACGGCAGACGGGACACACGCCCACGAGGGUCGGCAGACAGGAUACACCCCCACGAGGGUCGGCGGAUAUGACACACACCCGCGAAGGACGGCAGACCGCACGGGCCUGGCGGCGUCCUCGGUCCGCGCCGAGCUUAGGGCUCUAGCGCUCAGGAUGUAGCAUGUCUCAUGUCUCGGAUCCAGGACUCAUCCCCACCAAUUUUAUAUAGAAUAGGGAAGUUCGGGAGAGCUCCAACAGAGGUGUGGGAAACCAUUUUCCUCAUAGCCGCCCGGCUAGCUCAGUCGGUAGAGCAUGAGACCCUUAAUCUCAGGGUCGUGGGUUCGAGCCCCACGUUGGGCGUGAGAUUUUGUCGGAUGGAUUAGACUUGCAACUUGGAAGAAAGUAAACUAAAUAAGAAAACGUGGAAGUGACUCCGUAUACCUUGCAAAUCGGGAAUUGUUGGUCAGGCAAACGCAAAACGCUCCACCAACCAACUGGCUUCAGGAUCCCCUUUGUCUUGUUUCAUAAAAAAAAGAGGCCGAGCGUCGUGGUUCAUGCCUAUAAUCCUCUCACUUUGACCCUAGGAGUUUGAGACCAGCCUAGGCAACAUGGUGAGACCCCCGGCCCUUAAAAAAAAUACAAAUUUUCGCCAGGCUUGGUGGUGUGCGCCUGUAGUCCCAGCUAUUCCAGAGACUGAGGCAGGAGAAUCACUUGAACCCGGGAGGUAGAGGUUACAGUAAGCCGAGACUGUGCCAGUGCACUCCAGCCUGGACAACACAGUAAGACUCCGUCUC